UGGUGCAUCAAUUCAAAUGGAAGAAAAUUACAUGUAAAAAAGCCUCAAAUAGAAAACGUAGAAUACCUUUCCACUGAUGAUUUUUAGUUGUCAGGACAAGUGAGACCCAAACGGCAGACAGAAUGGUCCCAGCGUGCUUUUUGCCUUUUUUGUUUGCACGGUAGCUGUCAGUUCCAGCCUUGCAGGAUAAUUAAAAGAGAAACCUGUAAAGGCAACAUUCCUGUGAGCGAGUUGGUGCUGCAACGUGCUGGUCUAUAGAGCUACAGAAAGGAGUGAUCCAGGCAAUCAGGUAAGAGCUGGCUUCUUGUGCAGACUUGAAAUGGACUGCUUGCAGAGUGCCUGCCGAAAA
rnacentral:lncRNA from 1 species